rnacentral:rRNA from 1 species
ACCGUGAGCUAAUACCGGAUAAUAUUUUGAACCGCAUGGUUCAAAAUUGAAAGACGGUCUUGCUGUCACUUAUAGAUGGAUCCGCGCUGCAUUAGCUAGUUGGUAAGGUAACGGCUUACCAAGGCAACGAUGCAUAGCCGACCUGAGAGGGUGAUCGGCCACACUGGAACUGAGACACGGUCCAG